rnacentral:rRNA from 1 species
CUCAAUCAUAAGCGGAGGAAAAGAAACCAACAGGGAUUGCCUCAGUAACGGCGAGUGAAGCGGCAAGAGCUCAAAUUGAAAUCUGGCUCCUUCGGGGCUCCGACAUUGUAAUUUGGAGGAGGAUGCUUCGGGCAGGGGCCCCCAUUUAAAGGUCUCUGGAACGGGCCGUCAUAGAGGGGUUGGGAAUCCCGUUUGGGAAGGGGGGGUCCCGCCCGUGUGAAGAUCUCUUUGAAGAGUCGAGUUGUUUGGGAAAGCAGCUCUAAGAGGGUGGUAAAAUCAUAUAAAGCUAAAUAUAGGCCGGAGACCGAUAGCGCACAAGUAGAGUGAUCGAAAGAGGAAAAACACUUUGAAAAGAGAGAUAAACAGCACGUGAAAUUGUUGAAAGGGAAGCAUUGGCAACCAGACUUUCCUGGGGGGGGUCCGCCGGCACGUGGGCCGGGGCACUCCUCCCCGGCAGGCCACAGUCGGUUUGGGCGGUCGGUCAAAGAGCCCCGGAAAAUAGCACCCUUCGGGGGGCGUUAUAUCCCGGGGGGCCCCACGACCCCCCCCGGCCGAGGAACGCGCUUUUGGUCGGGGGCGGGGGUAAAAGUGUUCAAAGCGCCCUCUCGAAACACGGGGCACGGAGUGUAACAUAUAUGCGAGAGUUUGGGGGUCUCAACCCUCCGCGCACAGAAAGAGAGAGGAGGGGGGAGCCCUCUCGGGGGCGCACCAUCGACCGAUCCUGAUGUCUUCGGAUGGAUUUGAGUAAGAGCAUAGCUGUUGGGACCCGAAAGAUGGUGAACUAUGCCUGAAUAGGGCGAAGCCAGAGGAAACUCUGGUGGAGGCUCGCAGCGGUUCUGACGUGCAAAUCGAUCGUCAAAUUUGGGUAUAGGGGCGAAAGACUAAUCGAUCCAUCG